ensembl:lncRNA
CCGUCAUUUGUCUAUGCAGCAUGCAUGCGGAUCAGCAUGGUGUUCACUCCUGUUCAUCUCGGCAUCCUAGUUCAGCUGCGUCCUGAGCAACGUCAUCACCCAGCACCUUGAACCUCUGAACCCAGUGCACGUGCUCUGGCCCCAGCCUCCUAACUUCCUGUCCUGCUGAACUGGAUCCCUGGAUAAAGCACAGAAUUCUGCUUCUAAGUCCCAGGUCUUGGCACGGCUUCCUAACCAGGAGCCUCACUCCACCUCUGUUCUCCACACCUGAGCAGGCAACAAACCCGGCCAAACCCCAGUUGAGAUGAGCCCUGGUAUUGGAGUCAGGAAACUGGUGGGGCCAGGGGCACAUCAUAGCCUUUGAGGGCCUCCGUUUCCCCAUCUGUACCUGGGCGAAUACAAGUUCCUCCUUCUCAGGGUGUGUGUGGGAAUUAAACUGGACAUCUGCGGAAGCACUUUGUAAACAGCACGCAGGGAGGUAGUUGUCACUUGGGAAGCGUACGCCCCCCUAAUGGAUGCUGAAGAGGCACCAUCCCCUCAGACUGACGUGUUAGUCAGGGUUCUGCAGAGUAGAACCAAUUCAAUGUGUAGCUCAUUCUGAAGGCCAGCAGGCUCGUGGCCCAAGUGGAGCCAAUUAUUUAGUUCUGGUCUAAAGGCAGGAGAAAUCAGAGCCCCAGCUCAAGCUGUCAGGCAGGAGGAGUCUUCUCUUUCUCAGCCUUUUUUUGAUUGGUCCUCAAUGGAUUGGAUUGGAUGAUCCCCACCCACACUGGAGAAGGAAAGCUGCUUUACUCAGUCUACAGAUGCAAACGCUAGUCUCAUACAGAAACACCCUCACAGACACUCCCAGAAUCAUGUGUGAGCCCAGGUCUGGGCACUCGGGCCUAGUCAAGUUGACACAUAAAAGUAACCAGCAUGACAGGGGACAUUGAAUUUCCAAGGUCCUUGGAGCCACGUGGAGAUGGAAGAAGUAAGGAACCAAGAGGAACACCUCCCAGUCCACACAUCACAAUCCACUCCAGAUGGACCACAGAGGAAGACAAGACUGUAAGCCUCCGAGAGGAAAAUCACUUGACCCAAAAUACCAAGUAGUGUUGGUCAGGAUCAAGUCCACAGCCUGGAUCCUGACUUGUCAUCUUGGGGUCCCUGGAGCAGUAUUAUCAGCGUCACCCCAGAGCUUGUAAGAGAUGCAGAGUCCACACCCAAGACCCCCGAGUGACAUGUGUGCUCAUGAAGGGGCCAGCGGUGACUUGGGCAUGGCUACCUUGGGGGUUGUAACUCGUGAGGCACGUGCGGGGGACCAGGAGCUUUACAGCUUUUACAAGAUGCUUCACGUGCUUUAUCUCAUUUAGCAUUCGCAAGUGUUGAAUACAAAGCAGGUACUUUAGUCCCAUUUUGCUGAUGGAGAAAGGGGAAUAUACUUGACCAAAGUCACACAGAUAAUAGAUGAGAUUUCAACCUAGCUUUGUCUAAUGGCUAAAAGUGAGCUUACAGCUAUUAGAGCCAAUAUUAUCUCUAAUGCCAGUGACUUUUUUUUAAGUUAAUUUUUGCUGGAGUGUAGUUGAUAAGCAAUGUUGUGUUAGUUUCUGCUGUAGAGCAAAGUGAAUCAGUUACAUAUACAUAUAUACAUCCUUUUUUAGAUGUUAAUCCCAUAUAGGUCAUUACAGAAUAUUGACUAGAGUUUCCUGUGCCAUACAGUGAUUUCUCUUAUUAAUCGUUACUUACUUUAUAUAUAGUAAUGUACAUAUGUCAACCCCAAUCUCCCAAUGUAUCCCUUUCACCCACUCUUUCCCACCUGGCAACCUUAAGUUUGUUUCUACAUCUGUGACUCUAUUUCUGUUGUGUAAAUAGGCUCAUUUGUACCAUUUUUUAGAUUUCACAUAUCAAUAAUAGCAUAUGAUAUUUGUCUUUCUCUGUUGAUUUACUUCACUCACUAUGACAAACUCUAGGCCCAUCCACAUUGCUGCAAAUGGCAUGUUUUAUUAUUUUUUAUGGCUGAUAGUGUUCUGUUGUAUAUAUGUACCACAUCUUCUUUAUUCAUUCUUUCAGCAAUAGACAUUUAGGUUGCUUCAGUGGCCUGGCUAUUGUAAAUACCAAGUUUUUAACCACAGGUAGAACCAAAGAUGUCUUCAGUAUCUUUCUAAAUAUAUUACAUUCCUUCCCUCUUAAAUUAAGUAGCUGAAACUUAAUGUCACUUUUUUCAAAAUUAUAAAUGUCAUAAUGAAUGUCUAUUAUUUUAGAAUACAAGGAGAUCCUAAGGAAGUAUGCAGAGCUGUUUUUCCCUUUACUGAAUUAACACAGUCUCCUGGAUUAUUAAAUAAACUUUUCAUUUUAGAAUAUUUUUACAUGUAUAGGAAAAUUGCAAUGACAGUACAGGACUUCCCAUAUACCCUGUACCAAGGUUCCCCUGUUAUUCAUAUCUUAUACGAG